rnacentral:rRNA from 1 species
UACGUAGGGGGCUAGCGUUGUCCGGAAUCAUUGGGCGUAAAGAGCGUGUAGGCGGUCCGGUAAGUCCGCUGUGAAAGUCGGGGGCUCAACCCUCGAAUGCCGGUGGAUACUGUCGGGCUAGAGUGCGGAAGAGGUGAGUGGAAUUCCUGGUGUAGCGGUGAAAUGCGCAGAUAUCAGGAGGAACACCAAUGGCGAAGGCAGCUCACUGGGACGGUACUGACGCUGAGACGCGAAAGCGUGGGGAGCGAACAGG